CCCUAGCCCAGAUAGCAGUGAAAAGUUGUGCAGCGAAAAAACUAUUUUUUCUUGUCCCGAAAGAGUGACCAACGGAAGCUCCUUUCAGGGCAUUAGAAAAAAAGUUUUAGAGCAAAAAACUUGAAACGUAUAGCUGGAUCAGCU
rnacentral:sRNA from 1 species